CGCCUCCCCCUUCUGCCAGCACGUCUCUCUAUUUCUCGUUAAUCUGCCCCUCUCUCUCUCUCUCUCUCUCUCUGCAGUCAUCAUGGCGGAAAUCAAAACGGGAAUCUUCGCUAAAAACGUGCAGAAAAGGCUGAACCGCGCGCAGGAAAAGGUGCUGCAGAAACUGGGAAAAGCAGACGAGACCAAAGAUGAGCAAUUUGAACAAGUGGUCGUCAACUUCAGGAGACAGGAGUCUGAAGGCUCUCGGCUGCAGAGGGAGAUGAAGGCCUACAUGACUGCCAUUAAAGGGAUGCAGCAGGCCUCCAUCAACCUGACGCAGUCUCUGCAUGAAGUCUACGAGCCCGACUGGCACGGGAAAGAUGACGUCAUGGUAAUCGGGAAGGACUGUGAUGCGAUGUGGGAAGACUUUCAUAACAAACUGGUGGACUCCACGCUGCUGAACCUGGACGAGUACCUGCAACAGUUUCCAGACCUCAGAACUCGUGUGGCCAAAAGAAGUCGUAAACUGAUCGACUACGACAGCGCUCGUCAUCACGUGGAAACUCUGCAGCUGUCGGGGAUGAAGAGCGACCGCAAGAUGAUGAAGGCAGAGGAAGAGCUGAAGAAGGCUCAGAAAGUGUUUGAUGAGUUGGACGUCGGUCUGCAGGAUGAACUGCCGACUCUGUGGGACAGCCGGGUUGGCUUCUACAUCGGCACCUAUAAGAGUGUCACCAAUCUGGAGGCCAAAUUUCACCGCGAGAUCUCGCUGGUGUGCAGGCAGCUGUAUGAAGUGAUGACCCAACUAGCUGAGCAGCACUCUGACAAAAUGUUCACCAUCCAGGGAGCACCAAGUGAUUCAGGACCACUGCGACUCGCCAGAACCCCGUCACCCCCAGACGAUGAGAGUCCACCCGAGAGUCCAGACGCCAGCUCAAAUCACAUGCUCCGCCCCGUCUCACCUGGACCACCACGGCCCAAAUCCCCGAUACAGCUUAAAAAGGGGCCGCCGGUGCCUCCACCACCAAAGGCCACACCUACCAAGGAAGUGGCAGAGGAGCAGAUCAUCGACCUGUUUGGAGGGGAUUUCUUACCAGCACCUUCACCAUCGCAGCCCAAUGAACGGCCAGGAGAAUCUCUUCUCGACCUGGACUUUGAUGCUUUUGAGCCAGAUGAAAGUGUUUCGCCGAUACCACAGACAGCUGUGCCUUGGGAUAUGUGGUCGGGAAACGCCCAAAAAGCUCAGCCUGUUGCAGACACCGGUUUCAUCGCCGAUUGGUCCGCUGACUUUGGUUCAGCAAAUGGAGAUGCUGCUUCAGGAGCCGAGGCCCCUGCUGUAGGGCCGGAGGGGCCGCAGGGCGCGGCGCAGGGUGCAGACACAGCUACACCUCCUCAGGACAUUGAGGCAGCAGCUGAAGAUGAGGUUAGCAGCUGGGACUCUCAAAUUAACCCAAAACUUCCCUCUGCAGUCAGAGGUGAUGGAGUUGAGAUGAGGCAGGCAGAUUCAGAAGGAGAUACAGCAGGGCAGGAAGACCGCAGGAAGUCCACCCCCGGCCUUAUAUUCACCAAUGAGUAUGGUGAGCAGAUUGAGGACAGCACAGAGGACAGAGGAGACAAGUGUUCCAGGUCUCCAGAUGGGUCUGGGUCUGAAUAUGAGACCGCUGAGGAGUGGGGUGAUGGAGGUCAGGGGGGAGGCUGGGCGAGUGCUGAUAAUGACUUUUCAUAUGAAGAUCGUCCCCAAGUGAAUAUCUCAGAGGGGUGGGGAUGUGGAUAUGAUGGUGUAGUUUCACCAGAGAGAGAUGCAGCAGACAGAAAGUGUUCAUCAGAAAAAGAGCUGCCAGGAAAACCAACUGAUCUCACAUCAAUUUACAUAGACCAUUCUGAAACUCGAGUUUUGACAUCUGAAACGCAGGGAGGAAGUGCGCCUGUUUCAGAUUAUUUUGCUGAAACAUACGGAGGGGGUGGGUUUGAUUCAGAUCCUUUUUCUAAAACACAGGGAGGAGGAGCGUUUGUUUCAGAUCCGUUUGCUGAAACACAGGGAGGAGGUGCAUUUGAUUCGGAUCUCUCAGCUGAAAUACAGGGAGGGGGUGCGCUUGAUUCAGACACUUUUGCUGAAACACAGGAAGGAGGUGCGCUUGAUUUAGAUCCUUUUGCUGAAACACAGGGAGGAGGUGCAUUUGUUUCAGACCCUUUUGCUGAAACACAGGGAGGAGGUGCAUUUGUUUCAGAUCCUUUUGCUGAAACACAGGGAGAAAGUGCUUUUGUUUCAGACCCUUUUGCUGAAACACAGGGAGGUGCGUUUGUUUCAGAUGUUUUUGCUGAAACACAGGGAGGAGGUGAGCUUGAUUCAGACCCUUUUGCUGAAACACAGGAAGGAGGUGCGUUUAUUUCAGACCCUUUUGCUGAAACACAGGGAGGUGCGUUUGUUUCAGAUGUUUUUGCUGAAACACAGGGAGGAGGUGAGCUUGAUUCAGACCCUUUUGCUGAAACACAGGGAGGAGGUGCGUUUAUUUCAGAUCCUUUUGCUCAAAUACAGUUUGGAGACAUGGGGGGUGGUUUCGAAUUUGACCCAUUUGCUGAGACCUUGGGAGAAGGGGGAGUUGUGUCCACUGGGGAUGUAAGAGGUGGGUGGGAUACAGACCCUUUUGCCAACAGUUUCCCAGCAGCCUCUUCAGGGACUGAGGGUCCGGCCUCCAACACCACGUCCUGGCAGGAAGUUAGUCACAGCAGUGGCUUCGACUCUUCUGUCACUCAACAAAACUCUGCCGCUGUUUCUGGAACAGCAGGAGUUAAAGAUUUAAGCGUUACCAGAAUUCACAAAGAACCAGAAAAUUCAGACAUGUCCGAAGACGAGGCUGCAAACCGGAGAUUUGGAAAGUUGUACCAAGAACUAGAUACAGAAAAGGAAGAGAUUGAGAAACAAAGUGCAAGAAUUCCUGAAACCUGGAUCCCAGCCUGAGCUCCUUCCGCCUCUCUUCUUGCUUGCUUUGUCUGCUUGUUCAUUCCAUACAUUCAUUGUCACAUCGAAUCAAUCUUUAGAACACAUCUAAAACUUUUGUUACCUUAAAUACUAAUUUGUUUCUUUGAAAUUAAAUUUGUGACUAAUGGAUUUUAUGGAUUUUCACAGGUAAUUUUUCAAACCAAACUUAAAUUCGCACUCAUUAUUCAGACAAAAUAUUAGCAGUUUAAAUUCGGCCAUCUGACUAAAAUGAUUACACCAAUUAUCACAUAUUUUAGUUGCAUAUAUUCAGAGCUAUAUCAGUCCUAAAAUGGAUUUCUUAAGUUAAAUGUAAUUGUUGUCAUUUGCUGUUCCUUUUCCAUUCAACCUUCAAGCUGUAAGUUUCAAUCUUUCACAUCUUAGUUAACUCUCAGUGGCCGAAGUUUAAUUUUAAUUUACCUAUAUCAUCUUUGUUUGGAACAAAGAGGUCACAGCAAAGAUCCGAGGUUGCUCCAGAGAUUAGGUGCAUCAAAGUAGAAAUUUACUCUAACUGCAUGCUUCAUCAAACCCUGAAAGCCUUAUUCCCAGUAAUGUUCUGUAUUUCAAUGUCCCGACACUAAACGUCCAGACUCUUCUUGACUCUUAACCACCUAACUUCUAACCCUUCCUGACUUAUUGUUCUGACUCUUAAGGUCCUGUAUCUUUACGUCCCAAGACUUCAAUAAGUCUUGGGACAAUUCCUGAAUGUUAAAGUAUAUUAACUUCCCAACUCUUCCAGACUCUUAACAUCCUGUAUCUUAAUGUCCCGACUCUUAAUGUCCUGUAUCUUAACUUCUCAACUCUUCCAGACUCUUAAUGUCUUGUAUCCUAACGUCCUGACCUCUAACUUCCUGUAUCUUAACGUCCCGACUCUUCCCGACUCUUAAUUUCCUGUAUCCUAAUGUCUUGACUCUUAUUGUUCAGACUCUUAACGUGCUGUAUCUUAACGUCCAGAGUUUUACCGUCCUGUAUAAUAAUCACAUCCCGACCCUUAACGUCCCGCCUACUAACGUCGUGUAUUUUAAAGUCCCAACUUGUAAUGUUUCGACUCUUACAGUACCUACUUUUAAUGUCCCGUCUCUGCAUGUUCACUAAAGAUUUUCCUCUCUUCUGUGAAUAUUAAAUAAUCAUGCAUUUCCAGGUCCUGAUUGUCAGUUGUGACUUCUCUAUUUCUAACAUGUGCACUCUGAAGGAUGCCACUGCCCCAUCAUUCUUUGCUGAUUUUGAUAAGAUGAACGAAGUUAAAGCUGAAUCAACUGAGGCUCAAGAAGCCUCAGAGCCAGAAUCUGAUAAGGAACAAGGCAAGUUUCCAACUUCCCCUGCUGGAGAGGCAGACGAACC